UGUGUUUUAUUACGCCGCAGUUUUUAUAUCAAUUCUUCUGUUUAUUUUCACAACAAACUCUGUAUGACAGCGUGUACCUAACUUUGUACAACAUUUGUUUCACAUCCCUUCCAGUCCUCAUGUAUAGUCUUUUUGAACAGCAUGUGCAUCCUCAUGUAUUGCACAGCAAGCCAACACUCUACCGAGAUAUUAGUAAAAAUGCCCACUUGGGCUUUAAGCCUUUCCUCUACUGGACCUUCUUGGGAUUUUUUCAUGCAUUUGCUUUCUUCUUUGGCUCCUAUCUUCUAAUGGGAAAAGACACUUCAUUGUUAGGAAAC